UACAGAGGGGGCAAGCGUUAUUCGGAAUUAUUGGGCGUAAAGGGCGCGUAGGCGGACUAUCAAGUCUGGGGUGAAAUCCCGCGGCUCAACCGUGGAACGGCCUCAGAUACUGACGGUCUCGAGGGAGGUAGGGGCAUGCGGAACUGUAGGUGGAGCGGUGAAAUGCGUUGAUAUCUACAGGAACUCCGGUGGCGAAAGCGGCGUGCUGGACCUCUUCUGACGCUGAGGCGCGAAAGCUAGGGGAGCAAACGGG
rnacentral:rRNA from 1 species